UGAAUUAAAAUCAUAGAAAUUUCUAAACCAUCUAUAAUAAUACACUGUACAAAAACUGAGAUGAAGAAAAUAUGUUACUCCUUCCUGUAGGAGACAGCUUUUAAAAAAUGAAAAUAUAUUAUCACUUUUAAGUUCCUACUAUGUGACAAGAAUUGUGUUAAAUAAUUUGCAUGUCAUCAUAUCACAAUCCUUCUAGCCAUAAAGUAUCUCUCUUCUUUCCUUUACUUAGUUCUUACUCCUUCCCAUUGUGCUUGAGGGAAUUUGGCAUUAUGUGCUAUCACUUCAAUUAGGGAAACACAAGAUCCUUAACUAGGCGGUGUAUAGAAUAUUGAGUUGAAAAGCCAUACCUCUUCUCUACAAGUGUCAGGAUCUUCAAAUGGGAAUUUGAUUUCUAGAAUAAUAAUAAUUUAAUAAAAGUGAUUUCUAGCAACAAAA
rnacentral:sRNA from 1 species